GCCUGGGUGGCUCAGUUGGUUGAGCGUCCGACUUUGGCUCAGGUCAUGAUCUCACGGUCCGUGAGUUCGAGCCCCGCGUCAGGCU
rnacentral:tRNA from 1 species